rnacentral:rRNA from 1 species
UACGGGGGGGGCAAGCGUUGUUCGGAAUUACUGGGCGUAAAGGGCGCGUAGGUGGCGCGACAAGUCCGUGGUGAAAGCUCGAUGCUCAACAUCGAGUCGGCCACGGAUACUGUUGGGCUGGAGCACUGUAGAGGCAGAUGGAAUUCCAGGUGUAGCGGUGAAAUGCGUAGAUAUCUGGAGGAACACCGGUGGCGAAGGCGGCAUCCUGGACCAACACUGACACUGAUGAGCGAAAGCCAGGGGAGCAAACGGG